rnacentral:rRNA from 1 species
UACAGAGGGUGCAAGCGUUAAUCGGAAUUACUGGGCGUAAAGCGUGCGUAGACGGUCAUGUAAGUCGGGUGUGAAAGCCCCGGGCUCAACCUGGGAAUUGCAUUCGAGACUGCAUGGCUAGGGUGCGGAAGAGGGAAGCGGAAUUUCCGGUGUAGCGGUGAAAUGCGUAGAUAUCGGAAGGAACACCAGUGGCGAAAGCGGCUUCCUGGUCCAGCACCGACGUUCAGGCACGAAAGCGUGGGGAGCAAACAGGAU